CCUACGGGAGGCAGCAGUGGGGAAUUUUGGACAAUGGGCGCAAGCCUGAUCCAGCAAUGCCGCGUGAGUGAAGAAGGCCUUCGGGUUGUAAAGCUCUUUUGUCAGGGAAGAAAAGGCUACGGAUAAUACCUGUGGCUCAUGACGGUACCUGAAGAAUAAGCACCGGCUAACUACGUGCCAGCAGCCGCGGUAAUACGUAGGGUGCAAGCGUUAAUCGGAAUUACUGGGCGUAAAGCGUGCGCAGGCGGUUUUGUAAGACUGUCGUGAAAUCCCCGGGCUCAACCUGGGAAUGGCGAUGGUGACUGCAAGGCUAGAGUUUGGCAGAGGGGGGUAGAAUUCCACGUGUAGCAGUGAAAUGCGUAGAUAUGUGGAGGAACACCGAUGGCGAAGGCAGCCCCCUGGGUCAAAACUGACGCUCAUGCACGAAAGCGUGGGGAGCAAACAGGAUUAGAUACCCUGGUAGUCCACGCCCUAAACGAUGUCUACUAGUUGUCGGGUCUUAAUUGACUUGGUAACGCAGCUAACGCGUGAAGUAGACCGCCUGGGGAGUACGGUCGCAAGAUUAAAACUUAAAGGAAUUGACGG
rnacentral:rRNA from 1 species